AUGAACGCUGGCGGCAUGCCUAAGACAUGCAAGUCGAACGAAGUGGCCCAUUGAAGAUGGAGUGCUUGCACAAAGUCAGAUUUGGUUUACCACUUAGUGGCAGACGGGUGAGUAACACGUGGGUAACCUACCUCAAAGACUGGGACAACAGUUGGAAACGACUGCUAAUACCGGAUAAUCCAUAUUUAGAUAACUAGAUAUGUUAAAAGAAGCGUUUGCUUCACUUUGAGAUGGGCUUGCGGCGCAUUAGAUAGUUGGUGGGGUAAUGGCCUACCAAGUCGACGAUGCGUAUCCGAGCUGAGAGGCUGAUCGGACACACUGGGACUGAGACACGGUCCAAACUCCUACGGGAGGCAGCAGUGGGGAAUAUUGCACAAUGGGCGAAAGCCUGAUGCAGCAACGCCGCGUGAGUGAAGAAGGUCUUCGGAUUGUAAAACUCUGUCCUUGGGGAAGAAGAACUGACGGUACCCUUGGAGGAAGCCCCGGCUAACUACGUG
rnacentral:rRNA from 1 species